rnacentral:rRNA from 1 species
UACAGAGGUCUCAAGCGUUGUUCGGAUUCAUUGGGCGUAAAGGGUGCGUAGGUGGCGCUGUAAGUCAGGUGUGAAAUUUCGGAGCUUAACUCCGAAACUGCAUUUGAUACUGCGGUGCUCGAGGACUGGAGAGGAGACUGGAAUUUACGGUGUAGCAGUGAAAUGCGUAGAGAUCGUAAGGAAGACCAGUGGCGAAGGCGGGUCUCUGGACAGUUCCUGACACUGAGGCACAAAGGCCAGGGGAGCAAACGGG